CAGCUAGUUGGUGAGGUAAUGGCUCACCAAGGCUUCGAUCUGUAGCUGGUCUGAGAGGACGGCCAGCCACACUGGCACUGACACACGGGCCAGACUCCUACGGGAGGCAGCAGUGGGGAAUUUUGGGCAAUGGGCGAAAGCCUGACCCAGCAACGCCGCGUGAGGGAGGAAAUCCUUCGGGAUGUAAACCUCACAAGCAAGGGAAGAGAGCUAUGGGCUGAAUAAUCCCGUAGUGCGACGGUACCUUGCGUAAGCCACGGCUAACUACGUGCCAGCAGCCGCGGUAAUACGUAGGUGGCAAGCGUUGUUCGGAAUUAUUGGGCGUAAAGGGCGCGUAGGCGGUUUGUUAAGUCGGCUGUGAAAGCCCGGGGCUCAACCCCGGAGGGUCAGCCGAUACUGGCAGACUAGAGUACGGAAGAGGUAGCUGGAAUUCCCGGUGUAGCGGUGAAAUGCGUAGAUAUCGGGAGGACACCUGAGGCGAAGGCGGGCUACUGGGCCGAUACUGACGCUGAUGCGCGAAAGCCAGGGGAGCGAACGGGAUUAGAUACCCCGGUAGUCCUGGCCCUAAACGAUGGACACUUGGUGUGUCGGGUAUUCCAGUCCCGAUGUGCCGGAGCUAACGCGUUAAGU
rnacentral:rRNA from 1 species